UAGCGUUAUUCGGAAUUACUGGGCGUAAAGCGCACGUAGGCGGCUUUGUAAGUUAGAGGUGAAAGCCUGGAGCUCAACUCCAGAACUGCCUUUAAGACUGCAUCGCUUGAAUCCAGGAGAGGUGAGUGGAAUUCCGAGUGUAGAGGUGAAAUUCGUAGAUAUUCGGAAGAACACCAGUGGCGAAGGCGGCUCACUGGACCGUUGUUGACGCUGAGGUGCGAAAGCGUGGGGAGCAAACAGG
rnacentral:rRNA from 1 species